UUAAUUUUAAACUAACGUUGUCUAAUUGUGAUGACAUGGAUGCGUACAUUAGUAACUCGUUUACACUUAUUCUUAUGUGGAAAAUUUAUUUAAAUUAAAAGAUCAUGACAUGGUAAAAUUAAAAAGGGAAUUAGGGAUUUGGAAAUCAAGACGCAUUCUUCAUCCAUUUCUUCACCCCAAUGCUCUCGCCUCAAUUCCGAUCCACG
rnacentral:lncRNA from 1 species